AAAUUGAAGAGUUUGAUCAUGGCUCAGAUUGAACACUGGCGGCAGGCCUAACACAUGCAAGUCGAACGGUAACAGGAAGCAGCUUGCUGCUUUGCUGACGAGUGGCGGACGGGUGAGUAAUGUCUGGGAAACUGCCUGAUGGAGGGGGAUAACUACUGGAAACGGUGGCUAAUACCGCAUAACGUCGCAAGACCAAAGAGGGGGACCUUCGGGCCUCUUGCCAUCAGAUGUGCCCAGAUGGGAUU
rnacentral:rRNA from 1 species